rnacentral:lncRNA from 1 species
UGCUGUAGAAGUCGGGGACGAAGUCUGGCUCCCGUAGGAGUCUAGAUGAAGUCUACCUGCUGUAGAAGUCAGGGACGAAGUCCGGCUCCCGUAGGAGUCCGAAUGAAGUCUAGAAGGUGGUCGAUCAUCAUGAAAACUUGGGUGGAGCCCAUCCGCCGUGAAGAAUCUGGUCGACGCUGGUGGAGGCUUACCCGUCGGCAAAACUUGGGAGCAUUGCGGAGGCUCGGCCGCCAAAGAGGUUCAGAGAGAUGCCAUCG